AACGAACGCUGGCGGCGUGGAUAAGACAUGCAAGUCGAACGGGACAGACCGAGUAGCAAUAUUUGGAAUGUUCAGUGGCGAACGGGUGCGUAACACGUGGAUAACAUUCCGGAAAGCGGGGAAUAGCCCAGGGAAACUUGGAUUAAUACCGCAUGUGGCCGCAAGGCUAAAGACGGGGACCGCAAGGCCUGUCACUUUCCGAUUGGUCCGCGGCCUAUCAGCUAGUUGGCGGGGUAAUGGCCCACCAAGGCUACGACGGGUAGCUGGUCUUAGAGGACGACCCGCCACACUGGAACUGAGACAAGGUCCCGACACCUACGGGUGACAGCAGUCGAGAAUCUUUCACAAUGGGGGCAACCCUGAUGGAGCGACGCCGCGUGGAGGAUAAGGUCUUCGGAUUGUAAACUCCUGUCAUGCGAGAACAAGGUACUCAGGCUAAUAACCUGAUUGUUUGAUGGUACCGCAAGAGGAAGAGACGGCUAACUCUGUGCCAGCCGCCGCCGUAACAC
rnacentral:rRNA from 1 species